rnacentral:rRNA from 1 species
UCGAGAAUCUUCGGCAAUGGGCGCAAGCCUGACCGAGCGACGCCGCGUGGAGGACGAAGGCCUUCGGGUUGUAAACUCCUGUCGAGGGGGAGGAAGCCGCAAGGUUGACCGAUCCCUGGAGGAAGCACGGGCUAAGUUCGUGCCAGCAGCCGCGGUAAGACGAACCGUGCGAACGUUAUUCGGAAUCACUGGGCUUAAAGCGCGUGUAGGCGGGUCGGCACGUCGGAUGCUGAAAUCCCCCGGCUCAACCGGGGAAGUGGCGCCGAUACGGCCGACCUGGAGGGGGGUAGGGGGCGCUGGAACUCACGGUGGAGCGGUGAAAUGCGUUGAGAUCGUGAGGAACGCCCGCGGCGAAAGCGAGCGCCUGGACCCUUUCUGACGCUGAGACGCGAAAGCCAGGGGAGCGAACGGGAUUAGAUACCCGUGUAGUCC